AAUUUUCCCAUUUUUGAUUGUGUUUUUUAGUUGCUUCAUUGGAGUUAACCCAGAAAGGGGCACAAAAGCCGUUCAUGGGAAGAUGGUAUCGAAAAAAACAGGAAAGAUCAUUUAAAAGAAAAAGCAGACGGUGAAUGUACAGGUUUCCACCCUCAUCAAAAACUUGAUGGACUUUGAGUGGCAUCUCAUUCAGAUUAGUUGUUUUUCUUUUCUUUGAAACCUUUCUGUUUCCAUAUCAUUUAGGAUCUAAAUUAUAUUGUCUUUUCUUUUUCCAUGUUGGACGGUGCCUUCAUCUGCAUCUAAUAAAUGUUAGUGAAACUAUAUAUUGACUUUGAAGGCCUAUUUUUUUUACCAGUUCUCUGAGGAAUGGUUUUGUGUUAUUCAUUUUGAAUGUUUGAAUAUACUGGAAAUAUAUGUGGUUUGAGGCAUAGUGAUGCCUUUAAAUAAAAAUUCUGUUCUGAA